CGAGCGCAACCCACGUCCUUAGUUGCCAGCAGUUCGGCUGGGCACUCUAAGGAAACUGCCGGUGAUAAGCCGGAGGAAGGUGUGGAUGACGUCAAGUCCUCAUGGCCCUUACGGGUUGGGCUACACACGUGCUACAAUGGCAGUGACAAUGGGUUAAUCCCCAAAAGCUGUCUCAGUUCGGAUUGGGGUCUGCAACUCGACCCCAUGAAGUCGGAAUCGCUAGUAAUCGCGUAACAGCAUGACGCGGUGAAUACGUUCCCGGGCCUUGUACACACCGCCCGUCACACCAUGGGAGUUGGGUCUACCCGAAGACGGUGCGCCAACCUUUUCGAAGGGGGCAGCUGGCCACGGUAGGCUCAGCGACUGGGGUGAAGUCGUAACAAGGUAGCCGUAGGGGAACCUGCGGCUGGAUCACCUCCUUUCUAA
rnacentral:rRNA from 1 species